rnacentral:rRNA from 1 species
GAUCCUGGCUCAGGACGAACGCUGGCGGCGUGCCUAACACAUGCAAGUCGAACGGGGAGUUAGCAAUAACUUCUAGUGGCGAACGGGUGAGUAACGCGUAGACAACCUACCUUCUAGAUGGGGACAACACCGCGAAAGUGGUGCUAAUACCGAAUGUUAUAUCCGGGUUGCAUAAUUUGGAUACUAAAGGUGGCCUCUGAAUAUGCUACCGCUAGAAGAUGGGUCUGCGUCUGAUUAGCUAGUUGGUGGGGUAACGGCCCACCAAGGAGACGAUCAGUAGCCGGUCUGAGAGGAUGAACGGCCACACUGGGACUGAGACACGGCCCAGACUCCUACGGGAGGCAGCAGUGGGGAAUCUUCCGCAAUGGACGAAAGUCUGACGGAGAACCGCCGCGUGAGUGAUGAAGGCCUUCGGGUCGUAAAGCUCUGUUAUUAGGGACGAACGUCUUCUAUGUGAAUAAUUGUGGGAGAGUGACGGUACCUAAGGAGGAAGCCACGGCUAACUACGUGCCAGCAGCCGCGGUAAUACGUAGGUGGCAAGCGUUGUCCGGAAUUAUUGGGCGUAAAGCGCGCGUAGGUGGGAUCAUAAGUNUUAUGUAAAAGUGCGGGGCUCAACCCCGUAAAGCGUGAGAAACUGUGAUUCUUGAGUGCAGGAGAGGAAAGCGGAAUUCCCAGUGUAGCGGUGAAAUGCGUAGAUAUUGGGAGGAACACCAGUGGCGAAGGCGGCUUUCUGGACUGUGUCUGACACUGAGGCGCGAAAGCUAGGGGAGCGAACGGGAUUAGAUACCCCGGUAGUCCUAGCCGUAAACGAUGGGUACUAGGUGUAGGGGGUAUCGACCCCUCCUGUGCCGGAGUUAACGCAAUAAGUACCCCGCCUGGGGAGUACGGCCGCAAGGUUGAAACUCAAAGGAAUUGACGGGGCCCGCACAAGCGGUGGAGUAUGUGGUUUAAUUCGACGCAACGCGAAGAACCUUACCAGGACUUGACAUCGAAAGAAAGUUUUAGAGAUAAGACUGUGCCCUUUUAGGGAACUUGAAGACAGGUGGUGCAU